rnacentral:rRNA from 1 species
GUCAGAGGUGAAAUCCCAGGGCUCAACCCUGGAACUGCCUUUGAUACUGUCGGUCUUGAGGUCGAGAGAGGUGAGUGGAAUUCCGAGUGUAGAGGUGAAAUUCGUAGAUAUUCGGAGGAACACCAGUGGCGAAGGCGGCUCACUGGCUCGAUACUGA